rnacentral:piRNA from 1 species
UGCCAUAGAUAGUGAUUCCUUUGAAGGAU